GACGAACGCUGGCGGCGUGCUUAACACAUGCAAGUCGAACGGAAAGGCCCUGCUUUUGUGGGGUGCUCGAGUGGCGAACGGGUGAGUAACACGUGAGUAACCUGCCCUUGACUUUGGGAUAACUUCAGGAAACUGGGGCUAAUACCGGAUAGGAGCUCCUGCUGCAUGGUGGGGGUUGGAAAGUUUCGGCGGUUGGGGAUGGACUCGCGGCUUAUCAGCUUGUUGGUGGGGUAGUGGCUUACCGAGGCUUUGACGGGUAGCCGGCCUGAGAGGGUGACCGGCCACAUUGGGACUGAGAUACGGCCCAGACUCCUACGGGAGGCAGCAGCGGGGAAUAUUGCACAAUGGGCGGAAGCCUGAUGCAGCAACGCCGCGUGCGGGAUGACGGCCUUCGGGUUGUAAACCGCUUUCGCCUGUGACGAAGCGUGAGUGACGGUAAUGGGUAAAGAAGCACCGGCUAACUACGUG
rnacentral:rRNA from 1 species